rnacentral:rRNA from 1 species
GACGAACGCUGGCGGCGUGCUUAACACAUGCAAGUCGAACGGGUCUGCCCUGUUUUUUGCGGGGUGGGUCAGUGGCGAACGGGUGAGUAACACGUGAGUAACCUGCCCCUCACUUCUGGAUAACCGCUUGAAAGGGUGGCUAAUACGGGGUGUUCUGGCUGUGCCGCAUGGUGUGGCUGGGAAAGAUUCACUUUUGUGGUGUUUUGGUGGGGGAUGGGCUCGCGGCCUAUCAGCUUGUUGGUGGGGUGAUGGCCUGCCAAGGCUUUGACGGGUAGCCGGCCUGAGAGGGUGGGCGGUCACACUGGGACUGAGAUACGGCCCAGACUCCUGCGGGAGGCAGCAGUGGGGGGUAUUGCACAAUGGGCGGAAGCCUGAUGCAGCGACAUCGCGUGAGGGAUGGAGGCCUUCGGGUUGUGAACCUCUUUCGCCGGUGAAGAAGGUCCUGCUCUUUGUGGUGGGGUUGACGGUAGCCGGGUUAUGAAGCGCCGGCUAACUACGUG